rnacentral:rRNA from 1 species
UACGUAGGGUGCGAGCGUUGUCCGGAUUUAUUGGGCGUAAAGGGCUCGUAGGCGGCGUGUCGCGUCGGGAGUGAAAGCCCGUUGCUUAACGGCGGGUUGGCUUUCGGUACGGGCAUGCUGGAGUGCGGCAGGGGAGACUGGAAUUCCUGGUGUAGCGGUGAAAUGCGCAGAUAUCAGGAGGAACACCGGUGGCGAAGGCGGUUCUCUGGGCCUUACCUGACGCUGAGGAGCGAAAGCGUGGGGAGCGAACAGG